AGCUUAGCGAUAACGUACAGUAGUUUUCUUUUGUCAUUUUUUCUUCACCGAUUGUUCGCCUAUAUGGCUAGAAAAGCCACCGUUGAAAAUUAAGUGUAUGGUAAUCACGUCUCCUCAACCUUCGGUCCAGCUCGCACUCCCAUCUAAUUAAAAACUAGUACAUCGCAGUGAAAUAAAAUUGGACCCAGCCUAACCCUGAUUUCCAUAUGCAGAUCUGUCUGCGCCGGCUGCCUCUCGCCAUCACACUAUGCAUGCAUUCAAAAGCAUCUUCCCCGCUUUUUCAGAAUAUCAGUCGAAACGAAGAGAAGCGUACAGUCGCGGCUGUAGACUGUUUUGCUGCGGCCAUACGUUUAGAAAUUGUUAUUUUUAUUAGGACCGUGUGUUUUCUUAGAAAUAUGUGACUUAUCGGAAAGGACCGCACAUCCUAACAGCAGUGGAAUUUCACGUCAUGUACAUUGUCUUGUGUAUAAGGCGCUACGGUCUCCUAGACCCAGCCUAUAUAUGCUGAUGCAGACUCAAAUCUUUCUGCUAGAUAAUGUAUUUAGGAUGGCGUCCGGGGGGGGUUGAAACGCAACCAUGCAACCAACGCCACAAGCAAAUGAGCACUGAAUUGCUGAAAAGAAGGGCUUGGUAUGAAGCGGCCAGCUGUUUUGACGCUGUUCUGGAUGCUGCAGUGGCGCUACGUGACCACCGGAGGGCAGCGCGGCACUGACGCCAAUGUGUUUUACGCGGUGGAGGUGGAGGGAGGCAUCCGCGCUGUAAGAGCCCUGGCCGACCAGCACGGACUGCGGUUCAUCUCACGGGUUGGUAGUCUGGAGGCUCAUUUCACUCUGAGGGACGACUUGCAACGCCCCAACAGGUCGGCGCUAGAGAGCUCUCUGGCCCUGACGUCAGGGGUAAAGUGGGUCCAGAGACAGAAAUGUUACUACAGAGACAAGCGGGCUGCUAUAAGGAGGCUGGACAUCCUGAGUCACGAGUCAUGUGAGUGUGUGUGUGCGUGUGUGUGUGUGUGUGAGUGUGUAGAGGUGUGUUUGACAUGAUAAUGAG
rnacentral:lncRNA from 1 species